AACUGCCACUGUGUAAAUGACUGUAAUAUUGUUAUACAGUUAGAUUUAUGCUGGAUUAAAAAAAAUAUUCUGAAUGGUGGGUUUUGUUUUUUUUUUUACCUUUAGGACAGGUAUGUUUAGCAACAAAUAGAAUCAUUACAAAAGCAAGUCCACAAUAGGCAGUAGCAAAACUGUGGGCUUUUUGUGUCUUGACUCUAAAGAUGUCACAGUGUCUUCCAGGUAUCCUGAAAACCAAGGAGUAUAUAUUUUGUCCUAGUAGUAAAUCAAUUUCCUGAACUCCACUUUAAAGAGAGAAUUGAACAAAUACCUGACAAUAUAUAAGAAAAGAUGUUCUUUGCUGCUAUUUAUAAUCAUAAAAAUGUUUCAAAUAACCUUAACACUCAAUAAUAGGGAUUAAUUAGUCAAUUAAACAUGCCCACUUAUUGCCAUUAACAAUGUUGGCACCACAGUGUAUUUACUGCCAUGAAGAGACAGUAUCAAUUGAUAAGUGAAAAACUAACUUUUAAAAUAAUGUAAGGACUUCCCUGGAAGCCCAGUGGGUAAGACUCCACAAUUCCAAUGCAGGGGUUCACAGGUUCCAUCUCUGGCUGAGGAACUAAGAUCCCAUGGAUUGUGCAGCCAAACACAUAUGUAUAUAUAUUUAAAAUAUGUAUAUAUAUAUAUAUUUAAAAAUAUCAGAACUAAAAAAUAUAUCAGAACUAAAAAAUGUGUCAAACUUACAUAAGAAAAAACAUUUUUUGUUUUAGUAUCAUAAGAAUAGUAUAUAUGGGAAUACCUUAUUCAUUUUUUAAAGUAUUUGUAAUUUACAUAUUAUAAAACAGGCUCAUUUGAAAUGUACAGUUUGAGUUUUGACAAAUGUAUACACCUUUGCAAAUACCAUCACUAGCAAGAUAUACAUUUCCACCAUCCCUAAAUGUAUUUGAAUUUUAAAUUGUCUUAGAAUCUCACCAUAUGAUGAUAACUUCAGAUCAUUUGGUCUCACCCCUCAUGAUAAUAAACUAGCCAAAUGUUAAUAAAUAUAUCUAGGUAGUUUAUUUUAGGAAGUGUAUUCUACCCACAAUUCUAAUAAUAUGGUUUUAUUUUGUUAUUUGUUAUUUUGUUUUUGAUCUGCUGGUGCUUCUUUAGGGGCUGGUACAAGGUCCAUGGAUGAGCACCGACAAGGGAGUCUCCACUGGAAUCUCUGUUGCUGUCUUAGUAGUAUUGCUAAUAUUUGUGGUAUUCUAGAUUAACAAAAUUUAGAAUAUCUUUGCCUGGGUAACAAGGUGGAGCCACUAUGUGUGAUUCCCUUGAAGGAGUCUCAUAUUGGAGCUUUGAAACAGGCAGCUCUGAAGCCUAUCCAAGCAGAAGAUAAUGCCUACAUUGUUGAUGACUCUCAUUAAGUCGUGGGCCCAGAUUCUAAGGCAUUAUGUAGAAGAUAGUGCCAAGUUAUCACUAUGUCAGAAUCCUUCAAGCAGCAGGACAAAUUUUUGGUCAGUUUCUGAUGACAUUCCACAGAGUCAAGAACAUUGGGUAGAGUGAGUCUAGAUCAUCUGCGCACAAUCAACCUCUGUCACACAGUCCUAAUUUUUUAUAUUAAAACUGAGUCAAUCAUUCUGGCCAUUGCAGAAAUCUAUCCAAAACAUGAAAGGUACACUUUAGAAUUGUACAUUCUCUUUAGACUCUAUGAAUCCUGUUAUCCAUCAAGAAUUCUUACUGGGGAGACAGAAAACACACUUCGACCUUGGUUAAUAAAGCUGUGGAGAGGAGCUGACCGCAACUUAAAAUCAGCAAAUUUAAUUUGGUACUUAAAGGACUUAACAUGGAAGCAUUUCAUGAUUUUUUAAAAAUUGACUCCAAAUGUUAUAUUCCUUAGGACAUCAAGGGUUUCAAAUCAUGGGAGUGUACAGGUUUCUAUAUACCCAUUGGGAAAAUAGAAAUGCAUGUGAUUUUGCCCUUAUAG
ensembl:lncRNA